UACGUAGGGGGCAAGCGUUGUCCGGAAUUAUUGGGCGUAAAGCGCGCGCAGGCGGCAAGGAAAGUCUUGUGUCAAAGACCGGAGCUCAACUCCGGGCUGCAUGAGAAACUGUCCAGCUUGAGUGUAGGAGAGGGAAGUGGAAUUCCACGUGUAGCGGUGAAAUGCGUAGAGAUGUGGAGGAACACCAGUGGCGAAGGCGACUUUCUGGCCUAUAACUGACGCUGAGGCGCGAAAGCGUGGGGAGCAAACAGG
rnacentral:rRNA from 1 species